CUUAAACCUUUGGGAGGAAACGUAGUUUUACAGUGGUAACUAAGAAGUAUGUUGGAGAGUUUUGUUGCCUUUGCAAGGAUGUGUGUGUGUGUGUGUGUGUGUGUGUGUGUGUGUGUGAGUGUGUAUAUUAGUGACUGUGUGUGUGUUUUAAGCUAUUGAUCGUGGUAGAAGUCUAGAGGAAAUUUAUUCAGGGAACAUUGCCAGUAAGUAUCUUAAUAUUUGCAUUUAUUGUAAGUGUUUUUCAUAGGAUACCUUAGUGGCAGUUCUUUCGUUUCUGUCUGGACGGUUAGUGCGCACGUCUGAACAGCCUCCUGCGGUCCUGAACUGUAAGGGGGCUUUCUUGGAGUCCUGUCGCUUUGUGGAACUGCUUGCCCCUCAAGAUGUGAAGGUGUUCGACACGCACGGCUUCCUUUCUGGAACAACUGGACCCAAAGAGGUAAUGAGACCAAUAUUCGGCUGUUUAUCUUGCCUGGUAAAGAUCGGUUUCAUUCUUCCAGAAAUAGUGCCAAAAAUUAAUGCAUUAUUAAGAACGUGCAGAUGAUAUGAUUUGUCUUAUUUAUUUAAAAAGACAGACUGAGAAAAUAGCACUUUAAGGGCUUCUAGUAACAUAAAGAUCCAACAAAUUUGCUUUCAUUCAGUCAAGUUAAUGCUGCAGAGUUUACAUAUGUGAUCUACGUAUGUAAAUAUGGUUUGAUUACAGCAUGCUGCGCAGCAGUUAAUUGCUCCAAAGGCUGUUUCUUUCAAGUUAAUAAAAUUAGAUGUUUUCUCUCUUACACUGUCUUUGUUAUUUCUCUGCUUUGCUCUGGAGGUAAACUUCUCUAGGUUAGAUCCCUUUUCCAGUUUUUCUUCUCCCUGAAAGUUUUGAAUCUCAUCGCUUUGUUUUCCUUCUGAACUGCUGCGUGGAGGUGGCGAAGGGCUCAGGUCUCCCGCUGGGGCGCAGGUGGGCUUCCCGUGUUCCAGGCCCCCGGGUGACUGCCGUGGAGUUCAGGCGGCUGGUGUAAUGUAAAAGUGGUGCGGGCAAGUCCCCCUUACAGUCGAGUCGCGGUGUUGUUUUCAUGCUGAGUUUAAGCUAGGGGGCUGAAAGUCUGCGUUUUCCAUUGAAUUCCGUCCCUUCACGAACCUUGGAGGCCACUUAGCUUCUCACUGUAAAGCAAGAGCCAUCGUUUCUGACGCCCCUGUUCACACAGGCUCACCGCAGCGCUGCAGGCGAGGAGAGCACUGGAGACGCUCGAGGCCUUCUGCAGCACGGAGGCUCCGCUUAACUGGUAUCUUCUACUGGCUGGUCACUGUUUGCCAGGGACCCUUCUUAAUGCCUCAGUGGAUUAACAAAGUUAAUCUUCAUGAUAACCUUGUGAGCAAUAGAUAGUGUCAUUAUCUCCAGCGGACAGAUACAGAAACUGUUAGUGGGGGAGUGCUGAGAUGCAGGUGCCAAGACGGGGUUAGCUCCCGAGAGACUUACUGGGGAGCGGGUGGUGAGGGGAGCUCCCAGUGCUGGUCUGGCUGGAAGGAGCGAGGAUGGUUGGGGGCAGGGGUCUCGGCCUGCAGCGCAGCUCAGAGAGCAGCUGGGCCGGGCAGCCGGAGGGGAGUCCCGGCCCCACCGCGUGCUGGGGGAGCCCAGUAUCUCUGCGGAACGGUCCUGCCUCGGGACCCACUCUGUGCACAGUCAGGUCCCCCGAAGCCUGGGGCUGUGCCCUGUCUUAGCUGCCAGUCACAGAGGCGCCGGGCUAAGUGAUUUGCCCAAGGUGACACUGCCAGGAAGUGGCAGUGGGAAUGCAGAGCCCCUCUGACUGCAGGGCUGCUGGGGCUGUAACUCAAAGCAGGAGAGCUGCCAUCAGACCAAGGCGUGCCUUUGAAAGUGGCACCAGGGUCCAGUUCCCGUCUGCACAAAUCAUCUCAGAAAAUCAAGGGUGUUUUUGAAACAUCCUUAUCUUGCCUUAAUUCCUCCGUGAAUUUAUCUAAGCCUUUCCUGAAACAGUUUCUGUGUUAAGACUUGAGCAUGUCUUAGAGUAAUUCAUUUCUUAAGCUUACUUUAUCAAGUGCUGUCCUUUAUUUCUCGCAGACAUUCCGUAAGGACUUCUGGUUUCAGAAUUCCGGGGCGGUGACCUUCAUAGUUUUAUAAAUAUGAGAGUUUGAACUGGAGUUGCUUCUUUCACUUCACUUUCAGAGUGGAGGGGUUUCUUUUUACAUCAUGUAUGUUUUUCUUGAUCGUUCAAAGGCACAUUGUCUGAUUCUUCCUGUGAUCCUGUCCUUGGGAGUACAGACCUGGACCGCAUUCAGUGUUCUGCUUCUUUAGAAUUCCUGUUGUUUAUGCUUCUUCAGUGUAUUCUUCUAAAAACAUCUUCUUGACUUUAAACAUUUCCUGGGUUUCCAUAACUGAGGACUUUUCACUUCAGGGAGCAAGUGCCCAAAAGAUACAUAUUCCGGGAGCUCUACCGGGAGAUAAAAGGAGUCGGCAAAGAUGUGGGAUUGAUUCCAUUUCCUGGUUUCCCUUAAGAUGGGCAAAUUUAAACGUUUCUGAAUUACCACCUCCCAGAUCAAUAAAAUAAAUGCAAAAGUCAACAAACCUGAAGCAGACUAUUGGCAUGGAGGCUUUGUGAGAAAGUGUUACCCGUGACACCGUGAACUGGUACGAUCUUCUGGAGAUUAAUUUGCCAAUAUGUGAUGAGUGUCAGGAGGCGAUCGUAUUAUCUAAUCUAGAAACACAACUUUGGGGAAUUUAUCCAGGGAAAGAAAAAACCAUGAAAGAAAUGUAUAUGUCCUGUGGCCCAAAGUUCUCAAGUAGUCUGAUUCCCAAUUUUUAAGGCACGCCCAGAGUGCUGCGAUGGACUAGAAAAUCAGCACCGAAAGGAUUGUGUCGCAGGGUUAUCACCUGAUAUCUGCAGUAGUGAGUACGGGCAGGUGAGGCAGUACUGGAAGGAUGGUGGGCGGUCGUCGGGAAAGACCCGAGUCAGAUGAGGGUUGUUGCUUGGACAGGAAAGCCCUUGGGAGACACUGGAUGCGACUGGAUCUCAGAGUGAGGGCGAGAGUCCGACUUCGAUCGCGAGUAGCUCCCUCUGAAAAGAGUCGGCAAUGGGGGCGAUGGUGGACGCCGUUUGCGGGGCGCUGGGCGGUGCAGGACACCGACGCCUGUCUUUGUUUUCAGCAGCGUCACAGUCCGAGUUCGCUCCAGUGAAAUCCUUUUUCUGCAGAAUCCGGUGAGUUUGGAGGCUCGUGAAAGCCAGACAUGGUGGAUGAGGCUCUGGUUUUAUUUUGCACUUGUUUUGAUUCUUUUGUAUUCAGCUAGAUCCGGGGAGAUCAUGAAAGACAAGACUUGGUUCUUGCUAAAACAAAAGUUUGUACUUUGAUGGAGGAGAGGAUACCUGUUCUCAUGAGAAAAGAAGAUGCACGGGACAGGACAGGUAGUGCCGGUGCCUCUGCGCAGUAGAAGCAGAAAGUUGCCUGGGAAUUUGGGUGACCUGUUCCGUCUUCCACUCAGUGGUAAGCCAGUUCUGCAGAAAACCUCUCUCUCGUUGAAUAACAAAUGAGUAUAAUUGCCCUUGGGUAUUGAAAACAUAAACCAACAUUUCCUUUCUUUUAAGAGUCAGUAUGUUUAAACAUUUUGGACUUGGAUACGCCUCCCUUGGAAAUCAGCUAUAAAACACGUUUCCAGGCCUUGCUUCGUGGUGGACCCAGUGAGCGCAUUGCAUCAGGACUAAUGGUGUCUGUGCUCUGCAGUGGAGCUGAAGCCAGGGUGCGCGGGCAGCCUUCCCGCCCCUUCCGGAUUUUCCCGUUUGAUUCACGUGCUCAGCCUCACCUGCCCCGAGGCCGAGCCCUGCUGUCUGGUCUGGUGGAGGAGACUCAUUCUGGUUAUGAAGGUGAGUCAGGAGCGUCUGCUUUUAGAUGGAGGGUCACAUGUCAGCACAUCAGAAAGGGGCCCGAGAAAGCCCGUUUACUGCAGGGGCAGGACCAGAAAAGGAUGCUCGAGUCCAGCUUGGCCCUGAGCUGGUUUCCCUGACGUCUCUGUCUGCUGAGCUUGACUUCUUGUGCAGUGGCCUCCUUCAGGGGCAACGCAGCCUCGGGGUCUGAGCACAGGCGGGGCCGCAGACACCCGGUCUUCCCGUCCUUUCUCUACCGGUGACCAUCCUUCGGCCUUUGCUUCUGCCUCGUGUGACGUAAGAGCGUUGACGCGGUUGCACAGAGAGAUCACAAGGAUGAAUUUUUGUUUCUAAGGUGUUUUGAGAGCCCCUGAAUAAGAAGUAUAGUUUCCACCUUCCGUAUGGAAGCCGCUUCCAUUUAUUAUUUGAAAUUACAGUCAGUUCUGCUGUAAUGUGACAAGUACUUUCCUAAAAACUACCAUCCAAUGCAAAAAAAUUCGCACAAUGAAAACCACGGGAAGCUUCAAUUGCGUAAAUAGUUUUGGUAACCGCUCCUCAAAAGCUUUCUCCAAAGAUCUGAAUAGAGCACAGAAGCACAGACACUUACUGUAUUUUCCUAUCUCUUAUGGACAAAAUUAUUUCUCAUUGUUAAUUUCAUUGUUUCUAAAAAAAUUAAAUAUAUUUUUAACAAAUGGCUGAUCUUGUCCUUUAGAUAAUGGGCCUAUUAAAAUCAAAAUAAUUGAUUCACAUUUAACCCAGUGGUAGGGAAAGAUCCUAAAACACAAUUUCAUUAUAUGUUUUUACCAGUUUAUUUUAUAAGGUAUUUUAUACUGACUAGUGAAAAACUAGAAUAUUUAGCUCUUUUGAUUUUCUAUACUUAAUUCAAAUUUAAAAGUAAUUUUAUCUUUGAAAAUAACUCACUUUUCUUCUCUAUGUCAUCAUUUUGUAUCAUCUUUUUCCAGAAUGUUUCAAACAAAAAAAGUAUAUAAUGGCCUAAAAUUGAAAAAAAAAAAUACGUUUUACAAAUGAUAUCACCAGUAUCUAUGAGAAAAUAGAUAUUAAACAGUUAUUUUGUUAGAAAUUUUAAAAACGAUGCUUUCCUUCUCUCGAUUUUGUAUCUCAUCUUUUUGUACAGUUGAAUAAAAUAACGUACUGUGAAA